GCUUCCUUUUUUAUUAUUAUGCCCAUAUUUGGACUGUGCUUCCUCCCCUGCUAAUGUGAUUUAAUCUGUUUAUUAGAACUCGUUACCAUGCACCACCUUUCUGCCCAUAUUUGGGCGAUACUUCCUGUCGUUGAGUUACCUUAUUAUUGCCUCUGCCUUGCUGCUGAUGAUUUGAAAUUGGCGAUUAAUUGUUAACAGCUGGCCAUGCUUUGGUGGAAGGAGAUAAAAUCUGGUUCUUUAGGAGAGAGGGUGUGCCUGGUGGUGGUUGAUCUGCUGCCAUUGUGUCAAAGGACUCUCCCGUUCAGCAAAUGAAGCCCAGGUUCCUAGGCCUCUCUGUUUGAACACCGGUGUACUGCAGCUGGAUUUCAUUCAACGCUCUCUAAUGUUUCCUGAAGGCCUUGGCAAUAUCCAUCCUGUGGUUCCAGUGUCUGGUGCUGUCUUGAAGAUUGUGGCUAUCCUCGAACCUUCCUCAACGCUCGCUAAUGUUGCCUGAAGGGCCGUAACUAUAUUUUAUCACAUUGCAGUGUGUGUGUGUGACCUCUGCUAUCUGUGACGUUGGUGGUCAUUUUUGGUGCUCUUUUCUAGCCUCUGGCUGAUCCAUUUUGGGGUUCUGGGCCCAGUGCUGCUGUGAAGACUGCCUUGGUUAUGCUGGAAUCUUCGUCAACGCUUGCUGUUUGCUGCCUGGAGUACUGUAGCGUUCUCCUGUGGGUCUGAUGACUGCUGUGAUCCUUUGGACGUGUCCGUUAAACUGUAGAGGGAGGACCACUGUCGCGAACUACCUAGAAGCCUCCAGUCACUGAACCUUAAACUCUUCAAAGUGUUUUAGAGACUUGAUCUUAGAGGACUUUCCUUUACAUAUUAGUAUUUAUUAGUUAGUGCUUGUUGGCCCAUUAAUAAAGUGUGUAUUUUGUAUUUCAACCUUUGACUGUCUGUUGGGUUUCUGUGGCUGGGACCUGAGUCAAUUAUUUAAUGUUGGUCACUAGGUGACACAUACACUCAUCAGGUUAUACGCUGAAGAGCCGAGAACCUGUCCCUGGCAACCAGUGAUAGUUUGAGGUUUUGGCAUGGGGACAUAAUGUCUCCGUUCCCUCCAUCAGGGAACAAGGAUUACGAAUGCAACCAGUGAUAGUUUGAGGUUUUGGCAUGGAGACAUAAUGUCUCCAUUCCCUCCAUCAGGGAAC
ensembl:lncRNA